GCUAACACAAAAUAUUUUCAUGAUAUUAUUGACUGGUUGUAUAUAUGUUUAUCAGAAAUAUUUUCACAAAAAUAUUUUAAAGACAUUUUGUUUACAUCAGAAAUUAGGUGUGAAUGAUAUUUUACUAAUAACAUUUCAUCCCAAUGUUUGAUUGCAAAUAUAAAAACAUUUUUUGUAAAUAUUUUUUUAUAAUAAAUAAAUAAAUAUUUUUUGCUGAUGUUUUUUAAACGUUUAAAAGACAGUUUUAUAAAUGAGAACAGUUUUAUGUCGAAGAAAUAUUUCUUUACAAUAUUAAAACAAUAUCUGAUGGACAUUUUUAUAUUAUAAUUAUAAUAUAUAUUUGUAAGAUGUGUAAAAGAAAUGUUUAUAAAACAUUUUUGAUUAAUAUCUGCGUUAAGCAUAGGUUUGAUGUAUAAUAAAAUAUCUUUUUGAUGUAACAUCUAAAUAAUUUUCUUGUCCUAAUUAAAAAUAUAAGCUGGUAAUAUCUAAUGAAUAUUUAAAUAACGUCUUAACAAAAUAUUUUUUCGAUUUUAUUUAGAAAAUAUUAGUUGAAGACCCUUUUAUAAACAUUUUAACAUUAUAUGUCUUCUAGAUAUUUGUAAGAUGUAUGACAGAAAUGUUUGUCAAAUGUUUGUUAGUAAUAUUUGAGUGAAGCAAGUGUUAAAUAUUUUUUAGAUAUCACAUUAACAUGAAUGACUCCUCAUUUUUAUAGAAGAGCUUUAAUAAUUCCAAAGAGGUUAUAUGAGAUAAUCUCCUUGAUAAUUUUAACCUUUGAGGAACAUUUCAAUCGUGUAUUAUUAUAACUUUUUUCGUUCAACUUUAAUUGAUGAAACAUAAUAAACAAAUAUAUACAGAGUGAUAUUUGAUACAACCAUUCUGUUCAUCAAACACAUUCUGAUAAGGUUAACCAGAUGUUGGACACAUUUCAAAGAUAGUUGCUAUGGUAAUUAAGAUUAUAGAAAAUCUAAAUGUAAUGGGAUGGUCAUUUUUGAGGUUAUUUCCUGUCGUCUAUUUGUAACUUCCGAAAGCAGUGAAAACAAAGAAAACUAAAAGAGAAAAUCACAGUUCAAAGAGAAAGAAACACAUCUGGUAUUUGAGAACUACAGAAGACAAAUUAAAGCAGAGUGCAAAAGGAAUUUUAAUAAUCAUUGAAAAUAUUCUGGCUUCAAAAUGCAUGGAAAUGGAGAUGGGACAAAAUGCAUUCUACCAUUUGAUAGCCCAGAAUGAAUUACUUUAAAAGGCUAACAAGAAGAGGAGGCUCGCAGUAGAAGAUGCAGACUCUGAAUAAUUAAUAAAAUGUUAAAAUGCUA